AGUUGAUUAAAAAAAAGAAUGCUGCUGCGAUUGAAGGAGCUAGCACAAGACGAGUUAUGAGCAGUGCGCUAACUCACGACGAGCACGAGAUAGAAUGGGUUCAACCCCCAGGGAGUUAUGCAACCAUGUGUCAGCUUUCUAAGGCAGUGGCAGUGACCCGGUAAGAACACACCCUGGGUACUGGAAUAAAAAAGAGGUAAUUUUCAUUGCACUCACAGUUAUUGCUGCCUAAGCACUUGUACAUGCACUGCAGUUUACAACUAAUGCCGGGAUUUGGCAGUGAACUUGAAAAUCGCCAGAGUUCCACAUGGCAAGAAAUGUGGCAAAUUAUUCACUGGUAAGAAAUGUGGUGGUGGUUGUUGUGGCACUGAGAAUGAGCCUAACUAAAAUGGUUACACUGUGAUUCUUACGCAUCUGGAAGCAGAGUACUGAGGAAACCCGACAACCUUGGUUGUGAGUGUGCAUGCUCAGGCACCAAAACAAUGGAUUCUACACUGCAUUAAUAUUGUGAAUAACUCUUAUGCUGUUUGACUUUCUUACAGCCACGUUAAUUCUGGACUUAACAAUGAUAAGGCAGGUACCACUUAGUUGAAGAAAUUAAGGUUCUAUGUAUAAUGAUAUGGAAAACAAAUACCAAAAAUGUUUUUCACUUACAAAUAAAAUUGUCAGGAAAAAUGCCAGUGUAUUAACGAACAAAGAAAGACACCCUUGCAGAAUGAUGAUUUAUUGGCACAUUCAAAUAAAAAUACAUAAUAAUACCAUAUGACGGAGGAUAUAAACAAGUCAACUAUACCUAUAUCCUGCCCAUCACUGUGCUAUCACAUCCAGCAACACAUCUUACAGGAAGAUAUCCUGUGACCAAAGUCAGCACACAUAAUCUCACAGAAACAUACACAAUAGGCAGUCUUCCUUAUGACUGAUACCAAUAAUUUAGUACUUCUUACCACAUUUCACAAUUAUGAAAUACAUACAUACACACAACUAGUCAAACAACCUAAUGGCACAUAAAAAUUCAUUAACCUGUUAUUUAUUAAAAGAAAAAAAAAUUAAAUAACAAUGAUAUGAAACUUUAAAAAAAAAAGUGUCAGACUUAACACCUAAAAAUAUAAAAGUAAAGACAGAGACAAUUUAUGGGAGAAAGCUAUCAAUAUCAAAUAAAGUAAUUAAGUACUGAUAAGUGAUCAUAAAACAACUACAAGUGAAAAGAUAUUAACCUCACAACAAAUCUGUUAUCUCCAAGGCAACAUAAUUAAGUAGUUUCUCAGUCUCAUAUCAGAUACAGCACCCUUUCAAUAUGUUGGUGUAUUACGUGCCCAGUGUAUUUCGCGUGCAAGACAGUCAACCCUGCGAAACAUACGCCACCCCAAACUGCACCUCAGGCAUUCAAACAAAAAAUCAGCAAUUACCCUGCAAGGCAGUUAAACAUGCUGUAACUUGAGUGUCAACACAGCCUACGUACAAUUGUAGACUAUUGACUUAAAAAAAAAAAAGUGACUCCCUGCAAACAAUAUUUUAAAACCCAACAGGUAAGUGCUGUUAUGAACGCAGACAGGACCGCAAUGUGCGCCAGGUUCGGAACUCGCUGGCGACCCCGCAUGGCCACUGAUGUCACGCGCUGUCCAUUGACAUAAGGCAUGCCACGUGUGCCUGGUCGGAUUACAAAGGUCCUCGUUACCCACCCCCCUCUGCUGCCCGCGCACCGUCCCGCCACGGGCUAUUGUCACCUUUAGCGGCUGGGAAUCCCGGGUUUACAGAGGCCACCGUGAGGAGUGGUGUGAAUAAGUGUUCCUGUUCUGGGUGUUUCAGGCGUCGAGUUGGCCCGGAAUGACGGGAGAUGUCACAGCCGCUUCGAGAAGGAUGCCACGGUUAUAUAAGCGACGACGCCGGCCUCCGCAGGAGUUCCAAGAGUUUGGAGAGCUCUGCGAGAUAAAGUAUGUGCAACAUCGGCGAAGAGGGUAAGAGACCCUCCCUCGAGAGCGGCGCGACAAGGACGGGACCGUCAGAGUGCGACUGAGUGGCGCCAGGCUGUGUGUCUGAGGACAGGCACAAGGUAAGGGGUGAAUCACUGUCGAGCUUAGCUCCAGAGAGGAGUGCGAACUGUGGUACUUGACAGACAUUGAGUGACUUGCGAAUAAACAUUUUUAAGUGUGAUUCGUGAUCAGACAUUUUUUUAAGUACAAUUAUUUAUUAGUUUUGUAAAUAUUAGUAAUUAAUAAAACUUAAUUGGGUUAUCCCUUGGAGUCGGUAUGGUCUUGGCGACCAGACGAGAAGGACACGUCUCUCCGAGUCCGCGACUCGCUUGCCAUCUCGAACGCUUGAGUAACCUUGACACCUGAUGGUGUGUGAGUGAGCUCGUUCAGUUGUUGUUACACAGAUUUGUAAUUUAUUCCAUGAUUCAGCGAGAACUUGUUCAUGUGGACAUCGAUGUAGAUGUAUAUAUUUGAGUGUAAAUUUAUAUUUAGAGCUAUGGGCCACUGCAUCAGGCACAGGAUGUAUUUGUGUGACAAACAACUGCAAUCUUGUAUUAAUUAUGACGUGCUUAGUGGCCUACAGCCAGAUAAUUGUGUGCCGUGUUGUGUAAAGUGUUCCAGAGUGCCAGCAUUCUGGACUUGUUCCAAUUUCAUGCAUGUGUCCGCCACAGAAAGCCCUUUGUUGCCAUAUCAUUAAGUACCCAUCCCUCAAAAUUUCCACUUCCUAGCGGUACACAGCUUUUUCCUUAAUUCAUUACUUGAUCCCUAAUUCCACUUUUCCAUUAUUAGUUUCCUUUAUAUCCAAAUAACCCAUAUUAUUCCGAUCCCUCCCUUCCAGGUCCAAAGGCGUGAAUUUUUGGUUCCGGACUUUCUGGAACACAGGAUCGAUACGUGACAUGAGCUAGGAGACUGCCCGGUGCCCCAGACGACAGGUGCAGCGUGCUGCUAUCUCGCUGGGGUCUGAUGACCAGCAUCAAGGCAUGCUGCUCCUAAGCGCGGUGGAAAUAAGAGACACAUGGAAUUGGGUGCCAUAAUGAGAGCCAUACAACACAACCUCAGCACAGUGUAAUACCAUCACAACAACACAAGAUUACACAAUGCAAUAACAUGACCUGAUCACGCAGCGACCUUCUUAACUGCCAAACUCCCACCCUUUCCCACCCACUGGCAGGUGGCAAGUCUCCAUCCUGGUGUUAUGUAACAUUGGGACAGAGAGAGACAUCCCCUUCCAACUCCUUUGUUUACCGGCAACCAUGUGUGUGUGUGGGUGCGUUAGUGACGCGUCACAUUGGAGGCAAAGAGAAGAGAGGUCCGUCGGCCUCGCUACUCGAGUGCAUACACUCUUGAUAGUCAAAAACGCUUCAGCUGCGAACAUCUGGAUGUUAGUUAGCAAUGAUGCUAACUGCUUACUUCUCAGUUUUGAAUCGGGUGCAUCAUGUUCUCUGUACUGAGAUUUGAGUACAUUGCAAAGACCUCCACCCAACGAGUUAUCAAGUCAGUAAUUACGACCAAGAAUCAUUUCCCUCAUGAUGUUCUCGGGUAUAGCCCCAUGACACUACCAGAGCCUCUGAAAUAGUUCCUCAGGAUACCUGGAUACCAUUACUCAUCACCGCCAGCAUGGCGUGCUUUACGCUACCGGCACAGCAUGCAGCUCCUGAUGGCUAAGGAUGAGUUACAAAGUAGCGAGUCAGUCACACAUGCACAAAGCAAGGUGCAGAAAAAUUGUUAUUCCUUAAUUGUGCAGUGUUGCCAAAGUUCACAAAAAUAAUUUUGUGUUGAUUAAUUGUAAACAAGACACAGUGGGACAGACAAUGAGGAACCCCCCCACUGAUCCAGAUGUAGGAGAAGCACACCUGCAUGUCACUGUUGUGUAGAAGUGCAUUAAUCACUGAGCUACCACUGAAUGAGAUGAGAUGCAACCAAGUAAUUUGACGGUGGAAGAUCAGCCCCUAAUACAAUUAAGACCCAAAGCUAGGGGUUGGGGAAAUCAAUAGGGUUCUGAACCCUGGAUUGGUGAGACCAAGCCACAAAUGGCAUCCACCGGAGAGGCUAAAGGACUACUUCGUGGGUCUCAUGCUCGCUGGUCCCAAGAUGCAGCACCAGCGUGCUAGAUAAUGGGCCCAUUCACCCUGAUAACACUCCUCAUGAUUCUCUGUUGCAGACAGAUCUGAAGGUAGUAAUUCUUCUGGAGCUGUGAAAAUAAGGGAGACAACCGGAGGCAUGACACACCUUAGCAUAGACGACCUGCGUGAAGUCUGGCUCAACCUUGCCACGUAAAUCCCUCAUCACCGAGUGCUUCCAGAGGGUCCGAAUGUUGAGGUCCUCAUCGACCCACAAACAGCGAAUGUGAAUUGGGUUAUGAGGUGAUUGGGAUGAAGGAGAGGGUCAGUACUUUGAUGUGCAACGAGAGAUGGUCAGUGAAGUGUGUUGUAGGUAGGGUGGUCGAAUUCCAUAAUGGCCUUUGGGAAGGGGCAAUUGAGGUGCAACUUCAUUGCCCUCAUUAUAUUUCGAGACUAUUAUUAUGGUAUGUCACCGACCAGCUCGUGUUUCGUUCGAGCAAAAGAAGCAAACAGUACCUGCCCUGACUCAGUGUAUUUAGUUAUUAGGAAUUUAGCAAUUAUGUCAUGUUUUUGGCAAGUAAGAUGUUAUGUAUUUAAGUUUGUGUGAAUAUUAUUCCUUUAACAGGUGUGCCUUAGUCUUGAGUAACUUUGAUGUGAUGCUCAACUAUUAAUGUCAGCAUACAGUCUUAGAACGGGAGCAGGUAAGGUUGGCAGCUUAGAGCAUCAGUACUGGCUUGGUGACUGCAGGAGACAGACGGGUUGCUAAGGGCUCUGAAACUGACAUUUUGUCUCAAACGUUUGAGUAACACUACGACUUAAGAUGGUGUGUUAGUAGGCUAAGAUUGCUUAGUUAUCAACAUUUAAUUAUUAUUAUUAAAAUAUUUGUAUUAUACUGUGUUCUUCAGCGAGAACUUUUCAUGUGGAGACAGCCAUGUUAUUGUCUAACUUGUAAAUAGGUUUGUGUACGUGUUUGUGUGUGUGUAAAAAAAUUAUAACUAUAAGGCAUCACAUCAGAUGCAGGGUGAAUUUGAUUGACAACUAAACAACUGUCGACAUCAAGAUUUUUUUAAAUUGUGGUGUGCCUGGUGGCCUACAGACAGGUAUUCUGCCCUCAGUUCAGAGCUCGGAGCUAUUACCACUAGUGCUAUUACCGCUAGUGCCACUGAAUUCACUCGUAUCAAUCAAACUCGUUCAGCGUAAUCAUGACAACUACUUAACACGUUCUUUGAUUGUUAUAGUACAUAGAGUAGAUGACUGGUCUUCUUUUCUUGCUACUUGCUUAACACUGUUGUGAUUUUCUGGUUCUUAAGCCGAGGUCGUGAUUAAACUGUUGAAGUAGGAAACUUACAGAAAAAUCACAAUGUUGUCAUUACAUAAAAAUAAUUUAUAUAAAAAUUAUAACAACAAUAAAGCAACAAACUUCAUACUCUGCUUACAAAAGAUCUGUUUUGAAGUAUUAAAAAAAAUAUAUAUAUAUAUAUAUAUGAAAUUACCUUGAAAUUGAUAGUGGAUGUGAUUUUUCCCAUGCAUAAGUAAGUAUGUGUUUUAAACAUACAAUUAACUUACAACAUUUUUAAGUUCUAAUGCUUCACUGUAAUUUAAAAAUGUUUUUUGUAAAUAUUUUUUUUUGUUCUUAGCAAUUUUUUUAUAUAUAACUAAUUCAUUUUUUCCAGUAAGAAAUUAGACCAGGAUAUAUGAGCCUUACUGAACAAAAAAAGUAGGUUUUUCUUUCUUAAUUUAGUAGUCUCGCGCAUCAAUGGCGAAAUGUCAUGGAAGCAAAGAGCAUCUUCUAAGACAGUAUUCACCCGUGUUUAUAUUUGUUGUAUUUCCCAAGUGCUUAGAAAGUUUGUUUUUAAAUUAAUUAUCAUGAGAUUAUUCUAUUUAAUUUUAUUUUUUAUUUAUAAAAUAAAUUACCCCAUUGUGGUUAUGUAAGACCAAGCUGUUAGCACCUUAAAACUUUGGCACAUGUAAAAAAAUGAGACUAAUAAAUAUAAUAAAAUACAAUUUGGAUGAUGAUUUUAUACUAAACCUCUUGUCAACAAGUUAAACUAAUUUUCAUUGCUCUGUGAUGGGCAGAGAGAGGGUUUUUUUCUGGAGGAGGAGGAAGAGGAGGAAGAGGAGGAAAAGGAGGAGGAGGAGGAAGAGGAGGAAGAGGAGAAGGAGGAGGAAGAAGAGUAGGAAGAUGAGGAAGAAUAGGAGGAGAAGGAGGAGGAGAAAGAAGAGGAGGAGGGAGAAGGAGGAGGGAGAAGGCGGAGGAAGAAGAGGAGGAGGAGGAGAAGGAGGAGGAGAAGAAGAAGAAGGAGGAGGAAGAAUAUAGGAAUAUGAGGAAGAGGAAGAGGAGAAGGAGAAGGAGGAGGAAGAAGAGGAGGAGAAGGAGGAGGAGGAAGAGGAAGGAGGGGGUCUGCUCACAGUGACACUCAUGUUAUUUGAAAAAGAAGACGAAACAGAAGAAAAGGUAAGGUUAAGACUUGUACCAUACUGAUAAAAAAUUUUUGUCCUUAGGCCCUACUAUCUCUCGAUUGCCCUGGUACUCAGUGUUGUAUGGCAAGGUGAACCAGUGGCCACAAUUGAGUUUAGCAAACAGAAGUGCUUUUUCCAUACAAACAAUAAAAACCAACUAAAUAAAAUGUUACUACACCAGUAGUAGGCAGAUUAAGAAAUAUCAGCCAACAAUAAUUGUGACUAGUAGUUGGCUAAGCUAUAAAUUGAUACCAAAAUAUUAGCUGUCACAAAAUGUGUUACAAAUAGUACUAUGUAAAAACCCCACUCAGAAAAUGGUUGGUUUAGAAUUUUGACGUAUCCUAAAAUAAAUCUAACAAGUCACAAAUAUUGUGCUAUUGGCAAACACCAGAUCUAUAUAUUACAAAACCAAAAUAGGUAAGGUAGAUAAUGACUCAAAUCUAUAAAUUUGUUAAUUUAAUAAAUUUGAUCACUUAUUUUAUCAUUUUAAUGUUUAAACAUGUAUAAAAUUGCACAUGAGAUGAUUACAAUAUGUAAAAAUAAUCUAUAUUACAAAAAAAAAAAACUUCUGUAGAAACAAUAGUAAAUGGUGUUGACAGUUUUCUUACAUAUUUCAGCAUGCAGCUGCACAAUACACUCUCCUAUAAUCUGCAGGCCCAUUUCCACAGCUUAAGGGGCCGUCCUAAUAAGAAAUAGAGACAAUAAACUGACGGCUAUGGUAAAGCAUGUCCUGCUUAUAUGAGAAAAGUUGUCAGGGUAAUUUCGAAAAAAUAAUUCACAAGAAAGAUGUAUUGAUGUUUCUAUAGGCAUCUGUGUUCGUAAAAAUUGUAAUUUAGUUUAGUAAUUCACAGUUCAAUCAUCAUAACAUUAGCAAAAAAAACACAAUUUUUGAACUAUAUCCUAUAAAUUUAUUAGGUUUUGGAGACUACACGAACAUAGAUACAUACUUCGACAACACAAAUAUCAAAUAAAAUUGCAUAGUUGUCACUUUGGGUUUUUUGAGGCCUGCUCUAAGCUAAGCCAUGAUUCCGGCAAACCUCACUUCUACGCAAGGUCGGACGGUGCUGCUUCUGCUUCUGAAGGCGACAACACUGAGGUCUGAGAGUGGAGGGGAUAGAAGGGAGGGGGCUCGGCAGGAAUCUCCACCGAGGGGGAGGGGUUGGCCCAGCGGGGGUGCGGGAAGGCAACGAAGUUGGCGGGAAACAGGUUUUGGUGAAAGAGGCAGGAAACCCCAGCCAGUGUUUAAAGUAUGGGUGUUGAUGUGCUUUGGUGUGUUAAUUGAGUUCGUUGCACUAUGUUUUCUACAAGCAAAGGCUGGCGCUAUGGGAAAAAGAAGCGAAUGCUACUCGGUGCCAGGAGAAGGAAAAGACAAGCUCCGGCUGCCCUUCUGGAUUCUGCUAGAAACCGACAUGGAAAAAAAGGUGAAUCACGGGAAAGCCAAGAGAUGACGUACACUAUUGCAGAGUUAAGUCCACUUUCUCCAGAAAGCAAAGAGACUUCUUCCAGUCCAAGACAGGAUGAAGUCAAUACAUGGGAGGCUUAUCGGACAUACGUUGACAGUCUCUUAAGAAAUCCCGAAAAAGAUGCUGGCAACUGUUUAUCAGAUGAUGAAACAUCUUCAAACGCAGAACAAAAUUUAAGUGACUCCCAAUGCAAUGCUUACGUGAGUGAAAAUACAGAACACGACUUACCAACAGCUACAGAUAUCAAAUUAGAAGGUAGAAGAAUAGUUGAUAUUCAGUAUGUUAUUGACAGAAUAAAAUCAAUUAGCCGACACGAACCAUUUGAUUGUACAUUCAGUGACAUGGAUGUAAUCAGUGAACGACGUUUUGGGUUCAGUAGUGUCACCACUUUCAGAUGUAAAUUUUGUAGCAUUAAUAAAACUUUACGAACUGAAUGCACUGAAGAAAAGACAGGAAUGAUGAGUGUCAAUGCAGCUGCAGUGUCAGGGACAAUAUCUGUUGGAGGAGGCUACUAACAAUUCGAAGAGUUAUGUGGUGCAUUAAACAUGCCCUGUAUUUCACAACAUACUUGGAAGUCAAACCAUGACCGUAUUUCUGAUACUAUUCAGAAAUAAGCGUGGGAGCUUAUGGAUGAAGCGGCGCAAGAAGAAGCAGAGAUCGCUAUACUAGCUGGCAACAUUGAUGAGGAAGGUCGUCCAAUGAUAGCCGUUGUUGCAGACGCAGCUUGGUCUAAGCGAUCUUACAAAAGCAAAUAUAAUUCACUAGCAAUUGUGGUAAGUUGUAAUUAUAUUACUUUAGUCAUGUAACAAGUUUAUAGACAAUACUUACAGCUCAAUAUAAAUAGUGAUUUAAUAUAGUUCGUAUCUUAAUUCUAUAACUUUAGUGUUUUCUUUUCUUGUGCUGUAUCGUCGGCUUCAAGAAGAAAAAGAUUUUGUUCAUCGGUGUAAGGAAUAAAUAAUGCACUGUAUGUGAACGUUCUUCAGCUAAAGGUACAAGUAUUAUUCCAGAACACAAAUGUGUGAAGAACUGAUCAGGAACAUCCACGUCAAUGGAGCAAGAUGUGAUUGUAGAAGGAUUUUCCCAAAACUUAAGCAUGUAUGGUAUCAUUUACAGUCGUUUGAUCGCAGAUGGCGAUAGUAGUGUGCACGCAAAAUUAGUUGAUGCUAUGCCUUAUGGGCCAAUGAGACAAGUAGGGAAAAUAGAAUGCCGCAACCACAUUUGUAGGAACUAUGUAAUCAAAGUUCGAGAUACAUGUAGCAACACAAAAAUUUUGAAUAAUGAGCUAUGUUCAGCUCUCCAAAGUUGAAUUGUACAAUUAAGGGCAGCUGUAAUUUGUGCCAUUAAGUUUAGAAAAAAACAGAGUGAGAAUGAUCCUCAUUUGUCUGUUGAAGAACUGAGAAAGGAUAUUCUAAAUAGUCCAUAUCAUGUUCUCGGGGAUCAUUCCAAGUGCAGAGAAAGGAAAUACUUCUGUGAUGGGUCACCAAAACAUGGGGAAGUAAACCUGGUAGAUGAGAUGAAAAGAACAGGAUUGAUGCAAGAGUUGAUGACACACAUUCAGAGAGUGGCAAAAAACGCUACUAGUCUUAUUUUGGAUGUCGACAACAAUGUAGCAGAAAACUUCAAUUCGGUUGUAGCACAGUUUAAUGGAGGAAAACGUAUAAAUUUUGCCUUAGCCAAUUCUUACAAAACACGAUGUGAAGCAGCAGCAGUAUCUGUGAAUUCCAGCGGAGAGUUGUACCGAGUUAUUCACAAAUCUGCUCUCAAGAAGAGUCCUGGAAUCCACACAAAGAAUUUCAUUGACAGAUGCAAAAAUAGAGCAGGAUACCAAAAAAUACGUUGUUUGAGCUUCCCAAACAGAAAGAAAAAAGAAAAUCGAAAUAAAGCAGUGCAGACAGCGAUUAUGGGCUACAAGCUGCUGUGCUCAUACCUGAUAUGACUCAACCUGAGUUUGAGAACGCCAAGGAAAUUUGUUUACAGACAAUGAAACCCAAAAAGAAAGAAAACAUAGAGAAAAGAACAAGAGAGCAAAGCUCUUGUCAUGAAUGAAAAGUUGAACGUAGUAAACGGUUGACAUCAUCCAUGUUCGGGAGGAUAUGAAAAAUGAAAGCAGCAACGUCUUGUACCGACGUUGUUAAAGAAAUAAGGCAUCAGGUCUUCAAAGGAAAUUCAAGCACAUGCUGGGGCACUGAAAAAGAACCGGUAGCAAUUGCUCAAUUUGAAAGUGAAAAUCCUGGAAUUGUGGUAAGGCGAUGUGGCCUUAUUGUUGACGAAGAGUUUCCAUUUUUAGGGGCAUCACCUGAUGGCCUAAUAGGCGACGACGAAAUACUUGAAGUCAAGUGUCCCUCAUCGGCUAAACUAAAUGCUACCAAUGGAUGCUGUUAAAGAAAAGAAGAUUAAUUUUUUAGAAAUAAAUAAUGUUACUCUUCAACUAAAAUCAUCCCAUAACUAUAUGUAUCAAGUACAAAGUCUCCUACAUAUUUCACAUAGACAAAUUUGCCUUUUUGUUGUGUGGACUCCGCAAGGUAUGGUAACUCUGAAUAUACAGAGAGACAAAGAGUUCUGGAAAAACAAAAUGCUUACUAAACUUGUCACUUUCUUCAACCACUGCUUACCUCCUGAAAUCAUUUACCCAAGACAUUCGCAGAAUAUGUCGAUAAGGGAACCAGCAUACAUAACAGAGGCACAAAAUGCUAAAAAUCGGAAGGAAUAAAUCAAUAACCAGUUCUGAUCAUCACAAUACCAGUAAAACUCAUAUUUAAAUAAAACAUUUUUAAAGACAUAUUGUCAAUGCUUGCCGGCAAUUACAAUUUUAGUGAUUACUAUGAAAGUACUAAUAGGUAACCCUAAAAAUAAAAAUUUGCUCAGUAUGACAACAAACUACAAUUUGCACAUGCUCCCGAUGCUCAUUUCUUCAUAUUUGUAAGAACCCAUGUACAAUUUAUAAAACAUUGAUCUGCAUUUAUUUUAGUGUAAUUAUAUUUUAUAUUGAUAUACGACACAUACUAACAGUUAAUGUUGAUACAGAUUUUGGUGUGUCUGUGUCUGUGUGCGUGUGGCCAUAUAUAUAUAUAUAUAUAUAUGUGUGUGUGUGUGUGUGCGUGUGAGAUUAAAUAUAACGGCGCUGUGAAGUUAACGUGAAUGUGCCAACGAAAAUUAGAUUUUAUGUAUACAUACUGACAAAAAAAACCUGUCCGUUUAAACAUAAUUUCUUUAACGCAGGCAACCAAGACUGUAAUUUUGAUUUCGAUGUACAAUCAGCAUAUUUUUAAAAUAAGUUUUGUAAAUGUUUUUAAUCAGUAGGUCCAUCUGAUGGCAAGAUUUAGAUGUUGGAAGAACUGUGUUUUUAUUUGAAAUUAUGGGUAUUGAAAUACAUGUUCUAAUUUGUAAGGUUCUGUACGUAUGGAUCCACACCUUUACUUGUGUGUCCUUCACCUUCAUAUCUUAAAUGUUUAUUCUUUUCCUGAGCACAUUACAAAUCAAAGGUUUGUAAACAAAUGUAAAUACUGCUUUGUUAGCAGACUAGUGAUUCAAAUUUUCUACUUGUGCAUAUAUUUGUAAAGCUGCUUUCUUUUUGUGGGUAUGUUCAUUGGAAAUAAACAGUGCAGAGAGUUAA